UUUGAAUCUGGCGGUCUACGGCCGUCCGAGUUGUAAUCUAUAGAGGUGUUUUCCGUGCCGGACCGUGUACAAGUCCCUUGGAACAGGGCGUCAUAGAGGGUGAGAAUCCCGUCCAUGACACGGACUCCCGGUGCUCUGUGAUACACCUUCNAAGAGUCGAGUUGUUUGGGAAUGCAGCUCAAAAUGGGUGGUAAAUUCCAUCUAAAGCUAAAUACAGGCGAGAGACCGAUAGCGAACAAGUACCGUGAGGGAAAGAUGAAAAGAACUUUGGAAAGAGAGUUAAACAGUACGUGAAAUUGUUGAAAGGGAAACGCUUGAAGUCAGUCGCGUUUGCCGGGACUCAGCUUUGCUUUUGCUUGGUGCACUUCCCGGUGGAUGGGCCAGCAUCGAUUUUGGUCGCCGGAGAAGGGUGGGAGGAAUGUGGCAGCUUGCUGUGUUAUAGCCUCCUAUCGUACACGGUGAUUGGGAUCGAGGAC
rnacentral:rRNA from 1 species